CAUCCAUUUUAGCAUGGCUGGGGCCCCGAGGGCCCGGGCUCGGGCAGAUGGGUCACAAUCGGAGGCAAACGUCAGCGCGUGACAAAGAUUGUUUUGGCGAGCGCUGGAGGAAAUCGAUGCGAUGAAAAGAAGAGGGUCUGCUGCGCCGGGUUGGACCACUGGAGGGAGGUGUUGUCGUUGAAGUCCACCCUGCAGGUCAUGUUGGCGGCCGCCUCCUCCAGCGCCGUCACGUUCUGAGUGAUGGGGAACUGGCCAUGGCCGCCUGCAAGGGGGAGGAGUCAGAGCUGAGGUCAGGGCGGCGCCUUAGUACAAGCAGCUGGACCGAGACACGUGGUUGGAGUUGGAGCGAGAGAGGGACACGGCGAGAGAAAACAAAGACUGAAAAGUGGC